rnacentral:rRNA from 1 species
GUAGGGGGCGAGCGUUGUCCGGAUUUAUUGGGCGUAAAGAGCGUGUAGGCGGCCAGGUAGGUCUGCUGUGAAAACUCGAGGCUCAACCUCGAGACGCCGGCGGAAACCAUCUGGCUAGAGUCCGGAAGAGGAGAGUGGAAUUCCUGGUGUAGCGGUGAAAUGCGCAGAUAUCAGGAAGAACACCCGUGGCGAAGGCGGCUCUCUGGGACGGUACUGACGCUGAGACGCGAAAGCGUGGGGAGCGAACAGGAUUAGAUACCCUGGUAGUCCACGCCGUAAACGAUGAGUGCUAGGUGUGGGGGGUGUCGACUCCCUCCGUGCCGAAGCUAACGCAUUAAGCACUCCGCCUGGGGAGUACGGCCGCAAGGCUAAA